rnacentral:lncRNA from 1 species
CUCUAUAGUCCAUGGAGAAAGGUAUCUCCAUUCUCUAAAUUUAAAAGCAGUCUUGAAAUGAGUAAUCAUCUGCAAUGUCUCUGCUGAUGGAAGAAACAGCCUAGAUAACGUUUUCCCAAAUGGAAUGCCAUCUCUCAUGUUCAGAGAUAGAACACUGUUAAUGAUUAGCUGAGUCAUCUGGAAAUUGUUAUUUCUUUUCAUUCACUACACAUUCCAGCACAUUUCUUCCAUUCCUAAUUGAAUGGUAAUUUAAUUUUACCCAAUGGGAAAAAAAAAUCAUCCUACUAGCUAUCUGUUGAUGCAGAAUACUCUUUCUAUCCUCAGUAACGAGUCCUUCAAAAAUGUCUUUUUUCUCUUUUUCCAGCUCACUAAUUUCUUUAUGUUUGUGAGCAAUGGUUAACCUGCUAGACUAGCCAAACAGCUGUUUUCACCUAUUUUCUCUUCUUUUCAAUGAAAUAAGAAUAAUUUCCUUUAAAAGGACCUUUUCCACAUGUGGAAUUUUACCUGGACCUCUAAGCAUGUGUUUGUCUUGCACUGUUCAUUCUCAUCUCUAACCUAACCUCUCAAAUAUAUCCAUUAUCUCCUAACCUCUAGAGAAAAGUUGUCACUCUCUUCUUCUGUUUUCCACUCCUUGUUCAGUACCAAAUGUAUAAUUAUUAAAUCAGUUUAUCAAAUUCUCCUCCAUUGUGCUUCUAUUUCUUAUUAGAAGAUAGUCACUAACCUAAUCUCUGCAAAUCACCUUUUUAUUUUUUUUUUUUUUUGCCCCUGUUUGUGCAAAGAAAGGUCCUUAUGACUUCAGACAAGAACUAAAAUGAGGCACCAAAACCUCUUCUAGGGCAUAUCCUCCAGGGUUAUUCUGAUUUUACAUUUAUAUCACAAAACUUUUUUUUUUCUCUAUUGCUUUGUAACAUUUAUUUUAGGAUGUAGAAGACAGGGAGAUGGGAACAUGUACUGUGAUUAAAUUAAUGCUUAUCAUUUGAUUAUUACAAGUGGUUAUUACAGCUGAAUUCAUAGUCAGAAAACAUAUCUGGGACUCCAUUUCAGUGCGUGGACUGGCUGACUUCAUUGUAUCUAUGCUAAAAAUCCGGGGGGAAAUUUGGUCAAUUUUUAAAUGUCCUAGAACAAGACAUUUAAAAUAGAUUCUUUUGUUUUGCGCCCUAUCUUAGUCAGCUGACAGCAUACUGAGAAGAAAGCGCACUAAGUCAGCAUCCACUGCAGGCCUUUAUAACACUCUUGUUUCAAUUAAGCAUCUGGAGUCUCUUGGAAUGCAGAAUUUAUGAAGGAGCAAAACUUAAUACACUGGUUUGCAAACACUGAAAUCCAGUCUUUAUGUCCCUUCAAUGCCUCAGUUUCUCCACCCAUAAACCAAGAAAAAUUAUCUCUCAAUUUAAAACUUAACUGAAUUAUGUUGAUAAAAGAGUGCCAUAGGACAAGCAAGUAUUAUUAACUUCACUAUUAUUGUUACAUUUAUAGACUGUAAUGUGCAUAGUGACUCAUGAUACAAAAGCAAUUGCUUUACUUAUGGUCCUGUGACUGAAAGUACAAUAUGGUAUUAAAGGCAAACGUACAUAUAUAGAUUGCCAGCACACCUGGGGGAAAGAAAGGGAAAAAAAGGAUUACUCACCAGACCCUAGAAAAAUCUUUUCUUUGUGGACAAUAUAUGACUCAAAGUCUUCUGUUCUCCUGAUAGUUCAGUGCUAAGUCUUGUCUCCAGGGGAAAUCAAGAUCUGCAUUUAAAGAAAGAUAUUAAUAGCUAGAGCUAGAUUUUAUUUUCCAAGGAUAGUAAGUGUUAUAAGGUACUUAGUAUAAGAGAUAAUGUGAAAUGAAUAGUGAAUUAUAUUAAAAAUAUUCUGAAGAGUUCACAUUUUGUCAUUUAUCACAUUUUUUAGAGAAAAUUAUAGGUUAUAUUGUAGGGAGUCUAAUAAAUCCAUUACUCAGGAGUUAUUGGUGGGGUUCUGUUAAAGUCAUUCAAGUUUAACUUUAGUAGGAGUUCUCAAACAGUAAUAGGCAGUAUAUGUUCAUUCAGACCUCUCAUAAUGAAAAGAGAUAAGACUUACAUAAGAGAGAAAUGGAUAAAAAGACCCCUCCUAAAAAGACCAAACCAAACAAACAAAAACACAUAAACAAACAAACAAACAAAACAACCCACCAAAAAAACAAAUCCCAAGAACUAAAUAAAAUAAACAUACAGCAGAAAUCUUUAUUGGUGGAAGCAAGCAGCUGUGUAAUUUAGUUUUGGAAUAAAUUUUUAAUAUGAAAUGAGGGUAACAGAAGAUUAUGUAAAAUCUAGGUCAAGGAGAUUUUUUGUGUUAUGCAAACAAAAAUUUCGUUCCAUAACUUUUAGUGUGAGGCACAAGAAACAGUAAUACAGGGCUAUAGGAUUCUGAGCAGUGACAGAUGCUUGAAUGUAUACCCCAGAUUAACUUGAUUAGUGGGAUAUCCUCCAGAACUAUGACGUCUUUCUGGAUGUUAAUAGGAUGCACUAAUUUUUAAUGGGACGCACUGGGAGAUGCCCACGUAGGAGAUCACAUUUGAGACCACCUCAGGAACAUGAAGAGCCAUGGGAUCUGAUCAGAUGUAUCUAAGGGUCAUGAGAGAAGUGGCAGAUGAAGUGGCCAAGACACUAUCCAUCAUAUUAUGAAGUUGUGGCAGUCUGAUGAAGUUCUUAUUGACUGGCAAAGGGGAAAAAAACCUCCCAUUUUUAAAAAGGGAAAAAAAACAAACCCUGAAGACCCGGGGAAUGCAAGCUGAUCAGUCUCUUCUCAGUGCUCAGCAAGAUCAUGGAGUAGAUCUUCCUAGAAAUUAUACUAAAGCACACAGAAAACAAGGUUGGUGACAACCAACAUGGCUUUACUAAGCUCAAGUCAAGCCUGACAAACCUGGUGGCCUCCUAUGAUGAAGUUACAGCCAUGGUGGGUAAGGGAAGAGAAAAUGCCAUCUAUCUUUGCUAUAUACAAAGCAUUUGACACUGCCUUGUAUGACACCCUUGUCUCUUAAGUGGAGAGAUGUGAUAUUGACAGAUUAAGCAUUCAGUGGACAAGGAUUUGGCUGGGUGAUUGCACUCAAAGAGUUGUAGUCAACAGCUCAGUGUCCAAAUGGAUACCAGUGAAAAGUGUAAUUUCUUAAGGGAUGAUACUGGAACCAGAGCUGUUUAACAUUUUUAUUGGUGAUGUGGACAGUAGGAUUAAGUACGUCUUUGGAAAUUUGGACAAUGACACCACGUAAUGUGGUGCUGUUGAAAUGCUGGAGGGAAGGGAUGCCAUCCAAAGGCUUGAGAAGUGAGCAUGUUCACACCUCAUGAAGGUCAAUUAGGCCAAGUGCAGAGGGCACAUUCUGCAGAUGGAGAAUGGAUUGAAAGCAGCCCUGCAGAGAAAGACCUGGGGGUCUUGGUGGACAAUAUGCCCAACAUGACCUGGCAAAGUGCACUUGCAGCUCAGGAAGCCGAUCUGGGCUGCAUCAAAAGGCAUUAACAGCAGGUCAAGGGAAGUGAUUCUCCUCUCCUCUGCUCUUGUGUGACUCUAACUGGAGUACUGUGCUAGUUUUGGAAGCUCCAGUAGAAGAAGGACAUGGUGCAAGUCGAGAGGAGGCCAUGAAGAUGAUCAGAGGGCUGAAGAGCUGGAGUUGUUCAGUCUGGACACGAGAAAGCUUUGAGGAUAUCUUAUAGCAACCUUUCAGUAUCUUAAAAGGGAGACAGCAAGGGGGCUGGAGAGGGAAGUUUUGCAAGGGCAUGUAGUGAUAGGGCAAGGGGGAAUGGCUUUGAACUAAAAGAGGUUAGAGUUAGAUUUGGUAUUAAGAAGAAAUUAUGCAGCUGGUGAGGCACUGGAACAAGUAACGCAAAGAAGCUGUGGAUGAUCCCUGGAAGUGGUCAAGACCACAUUGGAUGGAAGGUGACCCCACCUAUGGCACAGGGGAAUUGAAACAUAAUGAUCUUUAAGGUCCAUUCAAAGUCAAGCCAUUCUAUGAUUCUGUGAAAUACUAGUUUCUGUCUUUAUAUCUAAUCCCUUUAGCUAAUGAUGCUGAACAUUGUGCUGUAAUUGGGCCUUGUCACAAGUUAACAAAAUAAAGAACCAAAGUCCUCUUUGCUUUUCACUAAAUCUUGUGUAAUACUUCAUUGCUGACAGUUCUGAAAUUCUACCUUUUUACUGUUCUGGAUCUGUAAGGUUUUUUGUUGGUUUUUUUUUUUUUUUUUAACAGUACUUUGAAAUCAUCAUUUUUAAAGGUGGCGAUGAAAGAUGUAAUUUCUACUUUCAGGCUGUGCACCUCUUCUCUGUUCCAGAAAAAAGUACUGUUAGGCAUUUAAUUCUCAAGAAGACACAGUCAGCAUAUUUCCUCCUAAUUUUGCUUACAAAUAAUAUUUCCAUCUGUGUGGACUAGGAAAUGGAGAACUGGGAACGAUCCAAAAUCAAAUUGUUUAUAUUCUGUCAAUUUACAGUAUCUUUUGAUUUUUCAUUGUUUAAACUAUAUAAAUCUUUUCAAAGCUUUCCUGUUUAAGUUUGAUAUGUCAAGACAGUGUCCAGCAGUGCAAUU